UGACUGUACUAAGGUAGCAUAAUCAUUAGCYUUUUAAUUGGUGGCUGGAAUGAAGGGUUAUUACUGGGAAGAUUGUUUUAUUUGUAUAUUUUGAAAUUAAGCUAGGAAUAAAAAUGUUCUUAUUAAUCUUUGGGACGAUAAGACCCUAGAAGUUUUAGAAUGGGCUGUUCUUUAGUUGGGGUGACUAAUGAAGAUGUGAAUCUUUAUUUGUAUAAAUUAAAAAUAUUAAUUACUCUAGGGAUAACAGCAUUAUUAAUCUUUGAGU
rnacentral:rRNA from 1 species